GACGGAGGAUGCAAGCGUUAUCCGGAAUGAUUGGGUGUAAAGCGUCCGCAGGUGGCGGUUCAAGUCUGCUGUCAAAGACCGGGGCUUAACUUCGGAAAGGCAGUGGAAACUGAACAGCUAGAGUAUGGUAGGGGCAGAGGGAAUUCCUGGUGUAGCGGUGAAAUGCGUAGAGAUCAGGAAGAACAUCGGUGGCGAAGGCGCUCUGCUGGACCAUAACUGACACUCAGGGACGAAAGCUAGGGGAGCGAAUGGG
rnacentral:rRNA from 1 species